rnacentral:rRNA from 1 species
GAUGAACGCUGGCGGCGUGCCUAAUACAUGCAAGUCGAGCGAACGGACGAGAAGCUUGCUUCUCUGAUGUUAGCGGCGGACGGGUGAGUAACACGUGGAUAACCUACCUAUAAGACUGGGAUAACUUCGGGAAACCGUAGCUAAUACCGGAUAAUAUUUUGAACCGCAUGGUUCAAAAGUGAAAGACGGUCUUGCUGUCACUUAUAGAUGGAUCCGCGCUGCAUUAGCUAGUUGGUAAGGUAACGGCUUACCAAGGCAACGAUGCAUAGCCGACCUGAGAGGGUGAUCGGCCACACUGGAGCUGAGCCACGGUCCAGACUCCUACGGGAGGCAGCAGUAGGGAAUCGUCCGCAGUGGGCGAAAGCCUGACGGAGCAACGCCGCGUGAGUGAUGAAGGUCUUCGGAUCGUAAAACUCUGUUAUUAGGGAAGAACAUAUGUGUAAGUAACUGUGCACAUCGUGACGGUACCUAAUCAGAAAGCCACGGCUAACUACGUG